rnacentral:lncRNA from 1 species
AGGCUGGAAUCACCCAAGCUCCAAGACACCUGAUCAAAACAAGAGACCAGCAAGUGACACUGAGAUGCUCCCCUGCCUCUGGGCAUAACUGUGUGUCCUGGUACCUACGAACUCCAAGUCAGCCCCUCUAGUUAUUGUUACAAUAUUGUAAUAGGUUACAAAGAGCAAAAGGAAACUUGCCUAAUUGAUUCUCAGCUCACCACGUCCAUAACUAUUACUGAGUCAAACACGGAGCUAGGGGACUCAGCCCUGUAUCUCUGUGUCAGCAAUUUG